rnacentral:rRNA from 1 species
AUUGAACGCUGGCGGCAUGCUUUACACAUGCAAGUCGAACGGUAACAGGCCUUCGGGUGCUGACGAGUGGCGCACGGGUGAGUAAUGCAUCGGAACGUGCCCAGAGGUGGGGGAUAACGCAGCGAAAGCUGUGCUAAUACCGCAUGUGAUCUGAGGAUGAAAGCGGGGGACCAGGCAGCAAUGUUUGGCCUCGCGCCUUUGGAGCGGCCGAUGUCAGAUUAGGUAGUUGGUGGGGUAAAGGCCUACCAAGCCGACGAUCUGUAGCUGGUCUGAGAGGACGACCAGACACACUGGGACUGAGACACGGCCCAGACUCCUACGGGAGGCAGCAGUGGGGAAUGUUGGACAAUGGGCGCAAGCCUGAUCCAGCAAUGCCGCGUGCGGGAAGAAGGCCUUCGGGUUGUAAACCGCUUUUGUACGGAACGAAAAGGCUCUGGCUAAUACCUGGGGCUGAUGACGGUACCGUAAGAAUAAGCACCGGCUAACUACGUG